CAUGCAUGAUAGACAGCCAACCAGACUAAGAAUUAGCCAUGGCUCGUAAAGUUUUCAACGUUGUGGCAUCCGUCCUCAUAUUGGCGUUCCUCAUGUCUUGCGAUGUGGUUGAAAGCACAUGCCAUGAGUAUACCAGCAAGGUCACUUGUCGCGAGUCCUCGACAUGUAAUACAUGGUGCAAGUACAACGGUGCUAAUGAUGGUCACUGCAAUAAAGGUUCAUGUGUGUGCGUGGAUUGCGGGUGGCGCGUGAUGGGUUCCACUUGAGUUGUUCCUUUGUAUCGAAAAAUGUAUUUGCCGACGAAUGGUCUUCGCGCUCCUUGAAUGAAUGUGUUACAAUAAAUCAAGAAUUGCUUUGAUAGGUAGUGAAUGUGGUUGUACCCUUGAUAACCUAAGAUUAAAGCCUAGGUUCCUGAUGCUUGUUCCUUGUUGGGGGUGGUCUGAUGUGGAGCCCUUGAAAAUGGAGUCGCUGGUGCCGAGGAGUCUGCAUUUUCACUAAUUGAUUCCCUUGCA